rnacentral:rRNA from 1 species
GAUGAACGCUGGCGGCGUGCCUAAUACAUGCAAGUCGAGCGAACAGACGAGGAGCUUGCUCCUUCGACGUUAGCGGCGGACGGGUGAGUAACACGUAGGGAACCUACCUAUAAGACUGGGAUAACUUCGGGAAACCGGAGCUAAUACCGGAUAAUAUUUCGAACCGCAUGGUUAGAUAGUGAAAGAUGGCUUUGCUAUCACUUAUAGAUGGACCUGCGCCGUAUUAGCUAGUUGGUAAGGUAACGGCUUACCAAGGCAACGAUACGUACCCGACCUGAGAGGGUGAUCGGCCACACUGGAACUGAGACACGGUCCAGACUCCUACGGGAGGCCGCAGUCGGGACUCUUCCGCAAUGGGCGAAAGCCUGACGGAGCAACGCCGCGUGAGUGAUGAAGGUCUUCGGAUCGUAAAACUCUGUUAUUAGGGAAGACCAAACGUGUAAGUAACUGUGCACGUCUUGACGGUACCUUAUCAGAAAGCCACGGCUAACUACGUG